ensembl:lncRNA
AUUCAACAGGAAAAAUAAGUAGAACAAUAGCAGUGUCCAGACAGCUAAUAAAUACACGUAAUACUGACUGUUGUUUGGUCCGACAUGACUGUCUGAUCACCUGGUGAUUUACUGACUUCACUGGUAAUGCUGUCAGAAAUCAAAAGGAGGAUGUGGAAACACUUCUGAAUAUUUAUGGAACGCUUCAACUUCUUCAUUUCUCACAUAGUCAAACAGCAGUCAAAACUUCUACAGAGCUAAAUGACCUGUUUCUGUUUCACUGAAUUCCUUUUGCAUUUCAAUUGUAAACUUGAGGAUUAAAGAGUUUCCUUUUUAUUCACACCAGCUUUUCUUCCUUUCAAAGACGAAGGGUUAUAGGACAGUAGCAGCUGCAAGAGAAAGAUUCUUACUUUUUUUUAGUGACAGUAGUAGACCUCUUGCUGAAUUUGGAGAUUAUGAAGUGGAGCUGUACAUGCUUUCAUUAGGGAAGGUGAUGAGGAAAGGUCUUACCUGUUUUCGUCAGUGUUGUUUCUGAAAAGUUUCUUAAUCUUGAGCUGUCUUCCCAAGGGAGGGAAAGAUGAUCUUGUCUUAAUCCUUGGAUUAUGAGAAUAUACUUUAUGCAGUUCGCUUGUAAGCAUGAAACUCAUAAUGCUAUGCAAGAUAUACUCUUUAUACCCUGAGGAAUCUUUUCCUACUCUGUAUUUUUGCUGCUCUGUAUCAAAAACGCCUUUUUCCUUUCGAGCUUUCCCCCUCCUUCAAAUAAUUCCAAAUACUUUUUUGUGUUGUUAUUCUAUAGAGCUGUAUGUGCUCUUUAAGAAAAAAAAUCCAGAUUAAGAGCAGUUUAAUUGUAACUCUCUGGCAUCAAAAGUAAGUUGAAGAUGGUUCAAAACUCUCGUGGAACUUCAGGAAAUGACUUUUCCUUAGACUUUUUCUCUCUUUGAGUAAUUUGAAUAAUUCAGGAACUGAUAAACCAGGAUAACCAUCACUAAGAGUGAUGUAAAAUAAAGCCUUUCCAGGAUAGUGACAGAAAGUGCAAGGAAUUUAAAAUGAAUUGUGAAAUCAAGAUUGUUGUUCUCCCAGUAUGGCUGAUUAAGUUUUUCAUGACAUUAAAUGUUUUCAGCUCGGCUACGUGAGGAGAAAGCCAACUACUGUUUUGUUAGGUGGCUCAGACGUCUGGAGGCUUUCGUACAAGACUGGGAACUCAGCGCAUGGGGAAUGAAUGAAGUUCACAAAAGAAGAGGACCUUCCCUGAAGUUUGAAAUGGCUCUCAUUUGCUGUGGCAGUGAGAAGAAGAAGGGGAAGCAAACAGCUGUCUACGAGAGGCAGAUCCACUUGGCUCUGUAUGCACAUCCUGAGGGUGGCCAAACCACUUUGGACAAAUACAGUGUCAUCCUUCUACUGCCUGACGCUUCUUCCUGGCGAUGCACACAUUAUGGACUUCCUGAGUCCAAGAUAGCAUUACAUUUUUCUCUUUAAUGAUAUAGUGGCCUCUUUUUCUUUUUUUCUUUUCUUUUAAGUAAGCAAAGGAAAAAAAAUAAAAGAACCCCAAAUACCUCAUUCUAAUUAUUCUGUUUCUAUGUCUUUUACAUGACUAAUGCUUGGGAUAUUCUUGAGCUUUGGUAUCAUGAAAAAUGGAGAACAAUAGAUUUCCUAUUCAGGUUUUCUGUAUUGCCCAGAAUUUUGUAGAGCACUGACCUGAUAUCCCUUUUUGCCAUGCUAGGUAAUUCUCUAUAGACUUGUGUUGUUGUUGUUGUUGUUUUCUCUUCACUUUUGUUUUUCUGCUAUAUCCAUUUUUAGAUAUGGUGAUCAGAACUGUGCAUGCCUUGUUUAAGAUGCAUAUCUAUUUACUGGGAAGAAAAUGCUUUCUGUUUUAUUCUCUGUUCUUAAUCUUUGCUAAUCAUCUGCUUAUUGUUUUGACCACUAAUGAGUUAUUUUCAAAAACCUAUCCAUUAUAGUUCUGGGUUUUGUUUUUUUGUUUGUUUGUUUCUUAUUCAUAUACAGCUAGUUUAGAACUCAUUAGCGCGUACGGUUAAUUAAGGUUGUUUUUUCCCUCUGUGGAUCACUGUGCUUUAGCAACAUUGAAUUUAAUCUGCCCAUUUUACCAUCCAGCUGCUCAGUCUCCUCCUGCAACUGUUGUCAGUCCAUUUUAUUCUUUUACUGUGCUGAAUUAUUGCCAUCAGAGAUCUUUGUCAUAUAGUUCACCCUUUUCACAUAAUUUAUGAGUGUGUUGAACACAAAGAUAAUUAAUAGAUGCAAGCGGUAGCUUCCUCUACAGGUUGAAGACUGAUUGUUUUUAUGCCUUUUAUUUUGUAUCUCAACGUACUCUUAAUCCAUAACAGGACCCAUUUCUUAGAAAGAGCUUAGUUCUGUUAGUGUUAUGCAAGCCCAUUUUGGAAACCCCAACACGGUUCACUCCUGGCCACAUGCUUGGCGAUCCCUUCAAGGAACACCAAUAGGUUUGUGACUUCCUUCUUUUGGUUAUACUGAUCCUUCUUAUCCGAACACUGAUGUGUCCUUUCUUGCUUCCCCUACUAUAAUCUUAAUCAACCUGAUCCCUACAGGCAGCAGAAUUACUAAACACCUGUUCCAUAGAUCUUCCCAUAGCUCUUUUCAGAAGAUGGUAUCACUUUCCUUUACUCUGAUUGCUCAUGUUGUAGGAAACACCACACCUAUCUAUUUCAAGAAGUGGUAUUGGAAAUCCUUAAGACCUGAAUGAAUACCAUCUGGGCUUCAUGAGUUAUUACUAUUUGUUUUAUCUAUUUGCCCUAUAUUUCUUAUACUGACAUUUCUAUUUCUCUUUUUUUUUUCCAGCUGGCUGUAUGGCUGGGUGCCAAAACAGGCAAUUCCAUAUUCUUCUGCACUGUAAAAACAGAUGUAAAGCAUUGAUUUAGCAUUUCUGUACUGGCAUUAACUUUCUUGUUUAUUUCUCUUGCAUCUAUUUUGUUCUUAGUUUCUACAGGCUGAGAGAGUUUAAAAAAGUUGUCUGAAGCAGGGUUUUAAUAUGGCUUUAUCUUUAACCAUCUAGAAUUAAUGCUCUUUUCUAUUUUCUUUAUUUGGACAUGGCUUCUGCUUCUGGAUGGAUGCUUUUUUGCUAUUAAUAGCUUUCUUUAUUCUGCUGCUUGACCACACAGCAUUUUCAGCAAUCACGUGAGGGUCAUUUUUUAGGACAUAGUGAGCUCUAAGCCACUAGUCUAUCUUAACCAUGCUGUCAAAUCACCUGCAAGUACUUUGAUCCUAUAGGUGCUGAUUUUAGUGUUGUAUAUGUCUGUUUCCAAUACAUUAUUUUCUUUAUCGUGCCUACGUGGUUUCAGCAUAAACAGAAAAAAAAUCACAUAGCUGUUAUAACAAGCAGAUGAGCAAGUGUCAGCAAAUCAGUCUGGAUGAGGUGAAAAUCACUGAAUUUUGGGUGGCUGCUUUGCUCCCCUGGGGAAAGAGGUGGCUACUCUUGCACCUGGAGGACUGGGCAUUCUUUGAGGCCUCCCAUCGCUGACAGACCUCCAUGCUGCCCUGGUCACGUGAAGCAGGUGUUUCCACAUCCUUGCUGAGAGAUCAGCGUACUGUCAGGAG